rnacentral:rRNA from 1 species
CAGUCGCCACGGGAAUACGUAGGGCGCAAGCGUUAUCCGGAAUUAUUGGGCGUAAAGAGCUCGUAGGCGGUUUGUCGCGUCUGCCGUGAAAGUCCGGGGCUCAACCCCGGAUCUGCGGUGGGUACGGGCAGACUAGAGUGAUGUAGGGGAGACUGGAAUUCCUGGUGUAGCGGUGAAAUGCGCAGAUAUCAGGAGGAACACCGAUGGCGAAGGCAGGUCUCUGGGCAUUAACUGACGCUGAGGAGCGAAAGCAUGGGGAGCGAACAGGAUUAGAUACCCCAGUAGUCCCUGUCUCUUAUAU